UACUCCCUCUCUACUGUCGGCUCUCUCUCUUCUUUUCCCCAUUUUCAAUUUCUCAAACCCUAAUCUCCCCCAAAUUAAGCCCUAGUCUACCUCUAUCUCUCCUCGUGAACUCCGAGAGGCUUUCCCCCAUCGCCGUCGUAUUCUCAGCUCGGCUGUCGGAGCAUCGCUGGCUCGAGCCCCUCGAUUCAUGGGGUCACCUGCGAUUCGUACCCGCCGAAUUCGGUGGGAGCAGCUCCCUCCACGGAUCCCGUCGUCUCCCGCAACUGCCCUCGGGAUGUCGCCGUCUGCGACAGCCCUUACUAAUCCGACAGCCCGCAGCACCGCCCUCACCGGCGGUGUUCUCCACUGCUGCCUCUCUGUGCUUGGCGUCGCACCGGGGCCACCGCUUCACUAUCGGAGUAGCUGUUGUUUCGUAGGCAGCUCGCAGCUUUUACCGACGCCACAUGCUCAUCUGUCGGCGAAGUUCGGAGCCGCUGUCUCCGCCGGCAAUGCUCGCUGUCGUCACCGCCCAUAAACCAUGCCGCUUCCUCGGCAAAAGCUAAGUCUCCAGUUCUUUUACAUUUAGCUAAUAACAUGUUUUUUUUUCUUAGAUUCAUUGCAUCAUGUGACUCGGGUUUUAGGGCAAGCUGAGCAAAUUAGUUAUUAAGCUUGAACACAGUGGUACCAAUCUUAUCUUGUGUUAUAUUGUAUUAUGAUGUAUAUGGUGGAAUUUUAGCAUGCUGUGCUGUAGAGUUUCUGUUGUGAAACCAUUUUUGAUCUCGAAAACUGAUCAUGCCGUGACUUCUAGUGUAAGAUGUGUCUAUAUGAUGGCAUGGUUCAUGUCUGAGUUUGAGAGGAAGGUGGAUGUUUACCUUCAUUGCUCUGCUCCGGCUUCUGCAACUAGCCUCAGUUCUCCUCAGUCUUUAUCUUACUAUUUGUGUUGAUAUGUGAUGGUAAAGAGGGGGAAAUAGAACCGAGGGGGUGGCAUUUAUAGGAGCUUGUAACCGAAAGCUGCAAAAACUUGUUGUUUGACUGGCAAAAAGGCCUUAAGGCUGUCCUAUGUUGGCUGAUUCCUCCAUGCAGCUUGUAGGCCGUGUACUUGUGAAAUGAAUGAGCCUAUAGCUCCUGGACAUGCUCUGAAUUUGGUGGCAUAUGGAGGUGUACUCAUGAGGUUAUGGUGGCUGCCACAUAGCCUCAGUUUCUGGUUGUCCUUUAUGUUGAAAUUUAACCGAAAUUGGCUCUAUGUGGGGGGUUUUAGUACUUGGUUUAUUUAUUGCUUUUGUUGGUUUAGGGUAGUUGUACUAUAAUUGACUGAUUUUCCUUGGCAAUGGCAGGUAUGAAUGGAAAGGUACAAGCUGCAAGUUCUCAGCUUUGCAGUGUGCGACUGCUGGAGUGAGAUCUGCCGGCUGUGCUUGCCCUUUCCAGCCAAUCCUUCUCCCAUUUCCUGAACGGUAUAGGCAGCGCCCAAGGCUGCUGCCGAGGUUGCUUCCCUCGUGGUCUCGCCCUCUCGGGAUAUUUGGAAUCUAGACCGAGACGUCCCUGUGAUGAAGUCCAUCUUAGUUGUUAGGUAUUUCUAAAUGUAAUAGUGUAGCUCGACUUUUAUUUUCGUUUUUCAUGUAGACAAGUCUCUAUAAUCUUUAAUAUUUAUUUAUUUCAAGCAUUUGUAAUUUAUUAGCUUGAAAUUCUUUA